UACGGAGGGUGCAAGCGUUAUCCGGAUUCACUGGGCGUAAAGGGUGCGCAGGCGGUCAGGUGUGUCAGAUGUGAAAGCUCCGGGCUUAACCCGGAAAUUGCGUCUGAAACUAUCUGGCUAGAGUAUUGGAGAGGGAAGCGGAAUUCUCGGUGUAGCGGUGAAAUGCGUAGAUAUCGGGAGGAACACCUGUGGCGAAGGCGACCCCCUGGUUGGAUACUGACGCUGAUACGCGAAAGCGUGGGGAGCAAACAGG
rnacentral:rRNA from 1 species